GUGAGUCAUCGAGUCUUUGAACGCAUCUUGCGCUUCUUGGUAUUCCAGGAAGCAUGCCUGUUUGAGUCUCAGUUGACUCUCUGACCGCUUCGGCGGCCAGGAUCUGAGCGGACCAGCGGUAACGCUCGCCGCUCUAAACGCAUGCAGCCGGCCUCUAGAGUGUUAAGACUCGGAAUGGCUUGAUAAUGUCUUCUGACUUAUUAGCUAUCUGGAUCCAGCGUCUCCUUAGGCCAAGGCGCCAGACUGUUUGUGCCAGCGAAAACGGCGUCUCACACUCGACACCUUGAGCUCAAAUCAGCAAGACUACCCGCUGAACUUAAGCAUAUCAAUAAGGCGAGG
rnacentral:rRNA from 1 species